rnacentral:rRNA from 2 species
GGUUAAGCGACUAAGCGUACACGGUGGAUGCCCUGGCAGUCAGAGGCGAUGAAGGACGUGCUAAUCUGCGAAAAGCGUCGGUAAGGUGAUAUGAACCGUUAUAACCGGCGAUGUCCGAAUGGGGAAACCCAGUGUGAUUCGUCACACUAUCGUUAACUGAAUACAUAGGUUAACGAGGCGAACCGGGGGAACUGAAACAUCUAAGUACCCCGAGGAAAAGAAAUCAACCGAGAUUCCCCCAGUAGCGGCGAGCGAACGGGGAGCAGCCCAGAGUCUGAAUCAGCUUGUGUGUUAGUGGAACGGUCUGGAAAGUCCGACGGUACAGGGUGAUAGUCCCGUACACCAAAAUGCACAGGUUGUGAACUCGAAGAGUAGGGCGGGACACGUGGUAUCCUGUCUGAAUAUGGGGGGACCAUCCUCCAAGGCUAAAUACUCCUGACUGACCGAUAGUGAACCAGUACCGUGAGGGAAAGGCGAAAAGAACCCCGGCGAGGGGAGUGAAAAAGAACCUGAAACCGUGUACGUACAAGCAGUGGGAGCACCUUCGGGUGUGACUGCGUACCUUUUGUAUAAUGGGUCAGCGACUUAUAUUCUGUAGCAAGGUUAACCGUAUAGGGGAGCCGCAGGGAAACCGAGUCUUAACUGGGCGUUAAGUUGCAGGGUAUAGACCCGAAACCCGGUGAUCUAGCCAUGGGCAGGUUGAAGGUUGGGUAACACUAACUGGAGGACCGAACCGACUAAUGUUGAAAAAUUAGCGGAUGACUUGUGGCUGGGGGUGAAAGGCCAAUCAAACCGGGAGAUAGCUGGUUCUCCCCGAAAGCUAUUUAGGUAGCGCCUCGUGAACUCAUCUUCGGGGGUAGAGCACUGUUUCGGCUAGGGGGUCAUCCCGACUUACCAACCCGAUGCAAACUACGAAUACCGAAGAAUGUUAUCACGGGAGACACACGGCGGGUGCUAACGUCCGUCGUGAAGAGGGAAACAACCCAGACCGCCAGCUAAGGUCCCAAAGUCAUGGUUAAGUGGGAAACGAUGUGGGAAGGCACAGACAGCCAGGAUGUUGGCUUAGAAGCAGCCAUCAUUUAAAGAAAGCGUAAUAGCUCACUGGUCGAGUCGGCCUGCGCGGAAGAUGUAACGGGGCUAAACCAUGCACCGAAGCUGCGGCAGCGACACUAUGUGUUGUUGGGUAGGGGAGCGUUCUGUAAGCCUGCGAAGGUGACCUGUGAGGGUUGCUGGAGGUAUCAGAAGUGCGAAUGCUGACAUAAGUAACGAUAAAGCGGGUGAAAAGCCCGCUCGCCGGAAGACCAAGGGUUCCUGUCCAACGUUAAUCGGGGCAGGGUGAGUCGACCCCUAAGGCGAGGCCGAAAGGCGUAGUCGAUGGGAAACAGGUUAAUAUUCCUGUACUUGGUGUUACUGCGAAGGGGGGACGGAGAAGGCUAUGUUAGCCGGGCGACGGUUGUCCCGGUUUAAGCAUGUAGGCUGAUUGUCCAGGCAAAUCCGGAUAAUCAAGGCUGAGGUGUGAUGACGAGGCACUACGGUGCUGAAGUAACAAAUGCCCUGCUUCCAGGAAAAGCCUCUAAGCAUCAGGUAACAUCAAAUCGUACCCCAAACCGACACAGGUGGUCAGGUAGAGAAUACCAAGGCGCUUGAGAGAACUCGGGUGAAGGAACUAGGCAAAAUGGUGCCGUAACUUCGGGAGAAGGCACGCUGGUGUGUAGGUGAAGUCCCUGCGGAUGGAGCUGAGACCAGUCGAAGAUACCAGCUGGCUGCAACUGUUUAUUAAAAACACAGCACUGUGCAAACACGAAAGUGGACGUAUACGGUGUGACGCCUGCCCGGUGCCGGAAGGUUAAUUGAUGGGGUUAUCCGUAAGGAGAAGCUCUUGAUCGAAGCCCCGGUAAACGGCGGCCGUAACUAUAACGGUCCUAAGGUAGCGAAAUUCCUUGUCGGGUAAGUUCCGACCUGCACGAAUGGCGUAAUGAUGGCCAGGCUGUCUCCACCCGAGACUCAGUGAAAUUGAACUCGCUGUGAAGAUGCAGUGUACCCGCGGCAAGACGGAAAGACCCCGUGAACCUUUACUAUAGCUUGACACUGAACAUUGAGCCUUGAUGUGUAGGAUAGGUGGGAGGCUUUGAAGCGUGGACGCCAGUCUGCGUGGAGCCAACCUUGAAAUACCACCCUUUAAUGUUUGAUGUUCUAACGUUGGCCCCUUACCGGGGUUGCGGACAGUGUCUGGUGGGUAGUUUGACUGGGGCGGUCUCCUCCCAAAGCGUAACGGAGGAGCACGAAGGUUAGCUAAUCCUGGUCGGACAUCAGGAGGUUAGUGCAAUGGCAUAAGCUAGCUUGACUGCGAGCGUGACGGCGCGAGCAGGUGCGAAAGCAGGUCAUAGUGAUCCGGUGGUUCUGAAUGGAAGGGCCAUCGCUCAACGGAUAAAAGGUACUCCGGGGAUAACAGGCUGAUACCGCCCAAGAGUUCAUAUCGACGGCGGUGUUUGGCACCUCGAUGUCGGCUCAUCACAUCCUGGGGCUGAAGUAGGUCCCAAGGGUAUGGCUGUUCGCCAUUUAAAGUGGUACGCGAGCUGGGUUUAGAACGUCGUGAGACAGUUCGGUCCCUAUCUGCCGUGGACGCUGGAGAAUUGAGGGGGGCUGCUCCUAGUACGAGAGGACCGGAGUGGACGCAUCACUGGUGUUCGGGUUGUCAUGCCAAUGGCACUGCCCGGUAGCUAAAUGCGGAAGAGAUAAGUGCUGAAAGCAUCUAAGCACGAAACUUGCCCCGAGAUGAGUUCUCCCUGAGACUUUAAGUCUCCUGAAGGAACGUUAAAGACGAUGACGUUGAUAGGCCGGGUGUGUAAGCGCAGCGAUGCGUUGAGCUAACCGGUACUAAUGAACCGUGAGGCUUAACCUU